rnacentral:lncRNA from 1 species
UGGUUAAUCCAACGGUCCAAAUUCAAUUUUUUUUUAAAUUUAUAAUUACAUUAAUCGAAUGGUUGUGGUCGAAUAUAAGCAAAUCUAACUAUAUAAAAAAGAGAGGAUUUGACGGUACAAAUUCAUGUAGUAUUUUAAUUGUCGUUUGUAUUAUUGUUUUAAGAUCGAAUUAUGAACUUUUGUUUAAGAAUGAGGUAGGUUGUGCAAUUUUUCAUUAUUUAUCAGAAUUUAAAUAUUUUUAGAUCAAAAUAUUCAUAAAAAUAAAUUAGGAUAAUCCACAUAAGUUUUAUUUUUCAAAGAGUUAAAAAAAAAGCUAAAAUCAAUUUUUAAUAAUCUCGGGCUAAAAUUUUAAACCAUAACCAUUGGAGAAUAAAAAUUAUUCCUGGAUUAUUGCUUAAAAUUUUUUGGUUUAAAAUUUUAAGCUUCAUCUCCAACUAUUGUAGACGGUCUUAGAAGACUUUGUUUGACAAUGGUGUCGUUGUGAAAUAGAACAAAGGAGAACUAUUCUAGGGAAUGUGAUUGUAAUGGGAUAAUUUAGGUGUUACCGUAUCAUGAUUACAUGAGUUACUAAUUAACUCAUAUUAUAAUAUUUGUAUAUAAAUUAAUUUUUCUUCAAGUAAAUAUGUGUUGUUGUCUCAUUUAAUACGUGAACUAAUACUAUUACGUGCAUAAUAAUAUUACAAUAUAACAAUAAUUUCUCAAUGCAAAGACUUUCAUAUCCUUGCUUAAUCCUAUAUAAGUGUCGUUGAACAAACCUAUGAGGCUUUAAAGAUUCCCGAAUUUGAACGAAGUUGUCUCCCUAAAAUGAAAAUAAACAUUGUUUGAGUUAGGUUUUUUAGUGAAAAUUAUCUUUGAGACUGACAUAACUUCUUAUUUUAGUCCAUACCAAUGAAAAUUAAUAGUCCCUGAAUUUGUCCACCGUAAAUCAUUUUGGUUAUUCCAUGAAAAAUUUGUCAAUAUCCUCGUUAAAUUGUCACGUGAACGACCACGUGAUCACCUUUUAAAAGUAUUUUUGUCAAAUAAAUCUCUCUACUUGAUGAAGAUAAUGACAUUUUUUUUUCUUCAGAAUAACCAUUAUUUAUGGUGGACAAACUUAAGAGCGACUUCAAAAAACUAUUGAUUUUCAUUGGUCAAUAAAGUGAGGAAUUAUAUCAAUAUCAGAGAUCGUUUUAAUUGAAUACAUUAAUCGAAUGAUUGUGAUCGAAUAUAAGCAAAUCUAACCGUUAAAAAAAAAAAAAGAUGAUUAACGGUAAAAAUUUAUUUAAUGUUUUAAUUGUCGUUUGUAUUAUUGUUUUAAGAUUGAAUUAUGAACUUUUGUUUAAGAAUGGAAUAGGUUGUUGUAAAUUAAUUUCGGAAUUUAAAAUAUAUAAAUUAGAAUAAUCCACAUAAUUUUUUAAAAUAUUUUAAAAGACUAACAUUACCUAAAAAAAAUAAAUUUUAUUUUUGUUUAAAAAAAUCUCUAAAAUCAGGUUUAAAAUUUUAAGCUAUAACCAUUGAAGGAUAAAACUUGUUUCUGGGUUAUUGCUUAAAAUUUAAGUUUCAUCCCAAACCAGUGGAGACGGUUGUGAACACGGAAAAUUCCUGAAACGAAAGAGACAAGAACAACGUGCACAAACAAAUAUUUGUGUUUGAUUUGAUGAUUUUGGGUUACAAUCUCUCUCUAUUUUGAUCCUCUGAUUCGAUCUCCGUAAGGUGUUGAUUUAUGGAUGUGCGAUUGAUCCA